CGGACAUGUGAUAUGAUGGGAGGCAUGACUGACUAUUGAGCCUAACAAAACUCAGGUGAAUAUUAUAGGUGUCCACCUGUGUACUCUUGCAGACCUUGUUCGGUUAAUCCCGUAAAAGUAAAAAUCCAAAAGCAACCUCCUAGAUAGCAUAAAAACUGAUGUUAUUGAAAUAAGAUAUGAGAUUCUAGUGAAAUAAGCUACCCCAUGCCAACCAAAAUCAUGUUGUGUACUUGCUGACGGGUUGUUUUCACUGGUUUUGAGACUUGAAGGAAAAAUAAAUGAGAUGGUCGAAAAUUGUGCUUAGAUGGUAGUUGAAUGAUGCGGCAUAGACUUCGUGUAAUAGCCUAUCAACCGGUGCUCCGCACGGAUUAAUAAGAAUUUAUAUAAAAUUAAAUUUUAUAUCUUGUUUAUAUCACACCUCUAUGUGUAUUCGAUAUAUAUUUAAUUUAAUUGAACCAUUUAUUUGUGAAUUGAUAUUCUUAUCUCUUCUAUCACACAUGAAUAUAUGAUAACACAUAUCGUGAGUAGUAUUUUAUAAAUACAAUACAUAAAUAAUAUACUAAUAAUGAUAGAAAUAUUAAUUUAAAAUAUAUAUUGGUGUAUUUUAAUACUUUGUUAUAAUUUUAUAAUUUAGAUUUGGAUUUAGGGGUUCCUUUAAAUUUUAAUAUAACAUAAUUGAUAAUUUAUAUGAAAAUUUAGAAGGUUAUUAGCAUUAUUUUUUAUAAUGUCAUAGAUGGGGAAUUUACACAAAAAAUAGAGGGUUACUUUAGAUUUUUAAUAAUGAUAUAGGUGGGUAAUUUAGAUACAUGUUUAGAGGGUUACUUUACUCUAUUUUCAUAAUGACAGAGGUAGACAAUUUAUUAGGAAAGAUAAUAGUUCCAAUGACUAUUAUGAUCAGAGUUGUUGGAUUAAUGGCCAGUUGUUUCUAAUUUCUGUGAGAAUUUCUAAUUUUUUUUAUUUUUUUGAGUGUCCAUCUAGGAUGCUAUGUGACUUCACGAAACCUUCAAAUGAGCCUCCAAUUAAUAAUAGUAAGAUAUAUCAUCCUCAUGCUUUACACAUGGUGCUAAAACCGCACACCAAAAUAAGGGAUUUCUGAUUUCUUCACACUAGAAUGCAUCAAAGAAGGCCAGCUAGCAUUAUGUUUGAGGAAAACCUUCUCGUGGCUCCACUGGUGUCACCACCUGAAAUCACAAAAUUAUUGUGGUUUUAGGAAGACACUACUGUGUUGAAGACACACGGCUCUCAACUUUCACAAGGAAUCAAUCACUUUACACUUACCAUGAGGUUUAUAAGAAGGCAGGCUGAUGUACCUGGGACAAUACUAACCAUGUUCUAUUAUAUCAUACGCGUUGCCAUUUCCUCCAUUUAUGCAGUCAAGAGGCUGAAAGAAAUCAGCGAGUGGAAAAUUAUUGCUACAAAAAUAAACAAACAGCAACAGAGGGGAGGCUCCAAAGGAGCUUCUGAUGGUGCCAACCAGGUCUACCACCAGAUACCUGCCGCCAUCAUCUGCGCCUACGCUAAUCUUGCUUGCCAGCAUAGCCUGAGGCACAAUGCAGAGUCAGCAGAUGCCAUCAUCGUUCUUCAUCAGCUAAAGGUGCCACACAAGUUGUGAACAAAUUUAUUUCCUUAAUCUAAAAAAAAAGAUGUGAACAAAACUCUGCAAAUCAGUCAAAGCAGAGUGCCAUGAGUGUCCAUGAGACCAUGAAGAUGGUAUUGUAUUGUGUUGCUUACUGUGACAUUGUAGCUGGAGUACAGGUGCAUGGUUGUAGAGAAGUAGCCGUAUUCAUCCUGGAUCACAGGGUACGAGCAUGUCCCGUGCUUUUCUGAAAUGAGAAAACAUUGAACUUUUAUUGGUGACAAA